rnacentral:rRNA from 1 species
AUUGAACGCUGGCGGCAUGCUUUACACAUGCAAGUCGAACGGCAGCACGGGUGCUUGCACCUGGUGGCGAGUGGCGGACGGGUGAGUAAUACAUCGGAACGUGUCCAGAAGAGGGGGAGUAACGCAUCGAAAGAUGUGCUAAUACCGCAUAUGCUCUGAGGAGGAAAGUAGGGGAUCGAAAGACCUUACGCUUUUGGAGCGGCCGAUGUCUGAUUAGCUAGUUGGUGGGGUAAGGGCCUACCAAGGCGACGAUCAGUAGUUGGUCUGAGAGGACGACCAGCCACACUGGGACUGAGACACGGCCCAGACUCCUACGGGAGGCAGCAGUGGGGAAUUUUGGACAAUGGGCGCAAGCCUGAUCCAGCAAUGCCGCGUGAGUGAAGAAGGCCUUCGGGUUGUAAAGCGUACUUUCAGUCGAGAGAAAGGACUGCAGUGAAUAACUGUAGUUUAUGACGGUAUCGACAGAAGAAGCA